rnacentral:rRNA from 1 species
UAGGGAAUCUUCCACAAUGGACGAAAAUACUGAUGGAGCAACGCCGCGUGAGUGAAGAAGGGUUUCGGCUCGUAAAACUCUGUUGUUAAAGAAGAACAUAUCUGAGAGUAACUGUUCAGGUAUUGACGGUAUUUAACCAGAAAGCCACGGCUAAAUACGUGCCAG